CAGCAGCCGCGGUAAUACGUAGGGUGCGAGCGUCAAUCGGAAUUACUGGGCGUAAAGCGUGCGCAGGCGGUUGUGUAAGACAGGUGUGAAAUCCCCGGGCUUAACCUGGGAACUGCGCUUGUGACUGCACAGCUAGAGUAUGGCAGAGGGGGGUGGAAUUCCACGUGUAGCAGUGAAAUGCGUAGAGAUGUGGAGGAACACCGAUGGCGAAGGCAGCCCCCUGGGCCAAUACUGACGCUCAUGCACGAAAGCGUGGGGAGCAAACAGGAUUAGAUACCCCCGUAGUCCCUGUCUCUUAUAC
rnacentral:rRNA from 1 species